UACAGAGGGUGCAAGCGUUAAUCGGAAUUACUGGGCGUAAAGGGCGCGUAGGUGGAUAUUUAAGUGAGAGGUGAAAUCCCCGGGCUUAACCUGGGAACUGCCUCUUAAACUGGGUAUCUGGAGUGCGAUAGAGGGUAGUGGAAUUUCCGGUGUAGCGGUGAAAUGCGUAGAUAUCGGGAGGAACACCUGUGGCGAAAGCGGCUCACUGGACCACAACUGACGCUGAUGCGCGAAAGCUAGGGGAGCAAACAGG
rnacentral:rRNA from 1 species